rnacentral:rRNA from 1 species
UAAUACGAAGGGUGCGAGCGUUGUUCGGAUUUAUUGGGCGUAAAGGGUUCGUAGGCGGGAUAAUAAGUCAAGUGUGAAAUCUCCGAGCUUAACUCGGAACGUGCAUUUGAAACUGUUAUUCUUGAGUCAUAGAGAGGGCGAUGGAAUUGUUGGUGUAGGAGUGACAUCCGUAGAGAUCAACAGGAACAUCAGAGGCGAAAGCGGUCGCCUGGCUAUGUACUGACGCUGAGGAACGAAAGCGUGGGGAGCAAACAGGAUUAGAUACCCUGGUAGUCCACGCCAUAAACGAUGAUAACUAGGUGUUGGGGGAGUUGACCCCCUCAGUACCGAAGCUCACGCAAUAAGUUAUCCGCCUGGGGAGUACGGCCGCAAGGCUA